AUGUUGGUUGAAAAAGGGAAAAAGAAAAAUUUAAAAAAAAGACAGUUAAAAAAGAAAUUAACUUUAAAAGACUAAAGAAUCAUGGUAAAAAAGCCGUGAAUUCUAUGUGCAGUAGUCCCCUAGUGCUGGAGUUCCGCCGUUCUCAUUGAUCGGUAAACUUGGUCUUGGCUGGCUGUUCUGGCUGAUCUUCUGGGGAGGGGCCUGUUGCCGUGGUUCCCAAAUGUCUCUGCCGGAGGCGGACUUGCCCCGCCCUUACCCCUCCCGGCUAAGUAAUCUGCUCGGGUUUGCUCUCCGGGGCUUUUGUUCCCUGCGAGCUUUCCGUACAGCUUUGGAGGCGGAGAGUGAAAAUGGCGGCCUCCCAAUCUCCGCUCCAGAGGAGCCGAGAACUCGGGGCCCGCUCCUCAGUGAGCCCCCAGAGAAAAGCCGUCAGUCACUCCCAUCUCCCCAGUCUCCGGCCGCACUCCGUGCUCUCCCGGCCUGUGACCGCGCGCCUCUGUCUCUGGCACCCGAGCCCGGGUGGAGUCUCCAAACCCAGCAGAUCCCUGCAGUGCGCUCCUGCGCCCCUCCUCCCGGGGGAGGAAGUGUUGAAGUGAGGAUUCCCCUGUGUCCCCACAUGGGAGAUGCAAAUGCCUACCCAGUUGAGGACCACCAGGAGCACGCCUGCCGGGGAUUGCUGGGUCACAAGGUGGGGAAAGUGGUGCGGAGAGGCUGAGCACCUUUGCAGCAUCACCUACUAGUAAGUGGGGCAUCAAGGAGCACAGACUCUUCUCUACCAGAUGGAGCCUUCUGCCCUAACCAACAUCACAGCCACACGCUCCUCCGGCAAAACCCAAGCUGUCCCCCACACCCGAGGACCGAAGCCAUCUGAACCAUCUGAUGCCACGACUGCAUCGGGCUUGGCCCGCUCAGAAGCUCCAGCCUGCAGUUUGCACAACUUCUGUGUGAGCUGGUCCCGCCGCCUGGGGUGCCCUGGCUCCACGGCGGACGGAGCGAGAGGGUGAAACCAGCUCCCAGCUUCGCAGCCACAGAAGCUUUGCUGGGCUAUCCAACCCCUCUGCGCUUCAGUUGGCUCCUCUGCGAGAUCCGGGUAACUACCUGUUUCAGGGGCGGCUGGGAGGAUUGAAGUUCGUGCCCAUCAAAGGCUUAGAACUCUGCCUGGCACAAAGCAUUCCAUUGGGGUGAGCCAUCCUGACCCACCCCCUGCUGUGUUCUUCUAGACUCAGCUUCUCUCUUCUGGGCGACCUUUCCUGCCCCCGGCCACGUUCUUUCUUUCUUCCUGCUCCCCCUGGGCCCCUGCUUGUGAAGCUGCUUUACCUACUGGCCCCUGGCAGCGCAGUCCUAAAACCACAUACAUCCCAGUCACUCGCACGCAUCACCAAUGGUGGCUCUGGGGGCCCAGUCUGCAUCGCAGACAGGCUCCUUGUGUGAUGCUCAGGGACACCCGAGCUUAAGAACCACCGCUCAGGCCAUCCACUCACCAUGGGGCAGGCAGUGGGGUCGGGGUGGGGGGCUGCCCUGGGUCGUGGCCAGAGGACGCCCCCCAGCCAUGCUAGGCACAUGAAAGUGACCCACUUGGGCAUGGCUGACAGUGGAGCUCACCCAUUCCUGGUCCUCGGGCCUUCCCUGAGCCUGGCCUGUGCUGAUCAUACAUUGAUGACCAGGGGCCUGCGCCACCCCCACCCUGCUGCUGGGGGCUGAAAAGCCAUCCAGGCUCUCAGACAAGCUGCAGAGUAAAGAGCUCCACGCUGAAUGUGGCGUCCCUAAAAUAGCCAGCAACCCACAAAACCAUGGUGGAAGGAAAAAGAAAAGCCAACCAAGAGUUAUCAUCAGCCCUUGUUUGGAAUUCGCUUUAGAAAGAAAAGUAUGUGCCAGUCCCACCCUGAUGAGGGAAGGAAGUGGUCAGGCAGAGGGCAACAGUCCUGAAAUGUCUUGGGGGAACCCCUCCUCUGGAGAAGCUACUGAGCACACAGACAGGGAUGCUGGGGCCCAAGGCAGGGAUUGGCUGAGGCAGUCUGGCCCUGGGGCCUGGAGAGGCCAAGCACGCUUCAAGUCAGGGGACAAUCUUCCCUGGCAGAGCAAGCUGGGUCAGGCCAGGUGGAGGGAUGCUGGUGCUCCAACUUAGGGGAGUGGGCUCUGCAGGCCCUCCUUCCAGCACCUACCCAGUCAGCCCCAGGACAGCUGCUCUGGAGGUGGGAGCCUGAGGGCUCCACUGGACCAGAGCCUCUGCUGCAGCAGAAAGCCGCCUUGGACUCGCUGGCCCCAUCCGCCCUUGCUGGCUGUUCACAGGCUGGGAUGAACAAAGCCAGGAGACCUGAAACUCAUCCAUCAGAGUCCCUGGGUUUAUGAUAACCCAUCUCUCUCAGCCAGAAAUUCUUUUGCUAAGAACACCUCAGCUCCUAAAUGCUUACACUCACCCCUUCAGCUCCCCACCCCCCCCAAACUCUCCAGCCCUGCCUGGCCUGAUGCCGAUCGGCCAGUGUGCCUUGGGGUUGGCUCGGCUCCCCCCCGGCCCCGCCCAGCCAAAAAAACAACUCAUCAGUGAGUGGAGGUCCAAGUGCCCCUGGGCAAGGCUGGCCCGGGGCCUAAAUGCAUCUGUCCACACAAAUACCCACUGCUGCUAAUGAGGCUGGUCCGGGGAGGCAGCGCCCUCCUCUCGUCCACAGCUCCAGACCAUCUGGAGGAGCCAAAGGCAGGCGUGGGUUGGCCGCCAGAGCCACAACUUUUAUCUCUUUAAGGGAGACUCCAUGGGGGAGGGAAACAAGACAAGCAGAGAAGGCAUGCAGACAGCUCAGCUAACAGUAUGGAAAAGAAGAGUCUCCCUUUAAAGAUGCAUUUAUCCUUCUCAUGGGAGUUGGCGGACUGUGGGCCCGUGGGCCAAACCCAGACCACCUCUUGUUUUUAUAUCUAAAGUUUUAUUACAACACAGGUGCACUCAUUCAGGUAGCAUCUGUGACUGCUUUCACACCGCAACAGAAGAGUUGCCACACAGAGUAACCCUAUUUGGCCCCUCACAGGGAAAGUUCGCCGACGCCAGCUUCUGGGUUUUUUUGGCGUUCAGAAUUCCAGGCAAGGACCGGGAGCCUGCACCUGUGAAGAGCUAAAAAGGACAAAAGCUGGGUUCCCAGCUUCAUUCCCCGCUCUUGGCUGGAGAUCCCUACCCCUGCAGACUGCCCCCGUGGCCACCGGGCACAAAGCGAGCACACACGAGGCGUGCCGAGAACACGGACUGAAUGAACUAUCAAUCACCAGAACUUCUUUCCUCAAAGAACAGCCACUAACAUUUCUGCUGACAAAUGUCAAAAAGGAGUAUUUAAACCCUGCCUUCAUCGACCUGCUCUACUGUCAGGAGCAGAGAGAAGCUGACACAGAUGAAUAAUUUUCCAACUGCAUUUACCUGAGAUAAGGAAAAUGAAACUCUUGUCUGGACACUGUUGCUGCCUUCUGGGCAGGUACACGAGGUGUUUUGCGGGGAGCAGGUGAGGGGGUGGUAGCCAAAACUGAAAACACAUGAUUUUUUUUUUUUCCUCUGUGGCUAAAGUUCCAUUUGGAAAUCGACAAUAAUUUAUUUCAUCACAAGUUCCCAACAGCUAAUUAGAAAAAUGUACUAAUUAAGUAAUAAUCUGGUUUCAGACGUUUUAAUUAUAUUCCUUUGGAAAAGCAAAAAAAAAAAAAAAAAAAAAUCCACCCCACUACAUAUUUUUAUGUAUAUAUAAUUUAA